rnacentral:rRNA from 1 species
ACGCUCGACACCUACGGGAGGCAGCAGUGGGGAAUAUUGCACAAUGGGGGAAACCCUGAUGCAGCGACGCCGCGUGAAGGAUGAAGUAUUUCGGUAUGUAAACUUCUAUCAGCAGGGAAGAAAGUGACGGUACCUGACUAAGAAGCCCCGGCUAACUACGUGUCAGCACGCCGGCGGUAAUCUGGAGGCGGGCUGGACAAGGC